AAUUUUUUUUUCCAGCAGCAGAUUAAAUCCGGAUUAUCAACUGAUACCUACUUUCAUUAAAAUUGUGAUAGAGAAAAGCGUUUGCCCUGAUGGAUUUUACCAGCCAGUGAGUGAUGACUGCUACAAAGCAUGCACUGACUUUAAACACGAAGAUGCAGAUUUAGUUGCACAUUGGGGAAUAAGAGUGUUGUAUCCAGGAAAGAAUACCGAUCCGGGGCGUGGAUACUGUGAUGUGGAUAAUGAAUUUGUAAGCUCGAAAACCUAAAAAAUGUACACAAGUUUAGGCCAUAAUGAGGUCUCUGUCUGUGAAAAAUUGGUUGAAUUUGAGACUUACUGCCCUGCCGAUAAACGCCUUUUACUAGUUGCAACAGAAAAGUCAGGAGUUGGUAACCCUUCUCAACAUGGUGAGAAAGCUUUGACUAGCAAGGCAGUUGCAGAGAGUGUUGCAGAAGAAUAGCAACGCACUUCUGAAUGGGAAAAAGCACAGAAUCAAAGUGAGUUCAUCAGUGUGUAGAUGAACAUCCUCACCCAGGUCCUGCUUCAGAUAAACGUACUACUUCACCGAAAGAGAGACAACCUCAAUAUCCAUGCACAAAAUGUGAAAGAGGAGUUACCUCUCGCAGUAAAGCAGUAAACUGUGAUCUUUGUCAACAGUGGACUCAUAUAAAAUGUACCACCGGUAUAACAGAAAAAGAUUAUGAAUCACUAUGUAGUGGUGAGACUUUACUUGCAAUAAAUGCUCAUUUACUGAACUUCCAUUUUCACAAGAUGCUCCGAAUUUUAAUGGCUCGGAAAUGUUGUUUACAACAAAUUUAAAUGGAACUCAAAUUCCUUCUGAAAUAAGUCAAGAUCAUUUCCAGUGUUUCUUUCAAAAAGGACUGCAUUUUAUUCAUGUUAUUGCAAGAGCCUUGCUUCCUAAAAUAUAUCAGAACUCCGGCUAAUCACAAUAAAAUCCAAAGCAGCUGUUAUCUUAGUGUCAGAAAACUGGCUCGAAUCUUCAGUACCUGACAGCGAAGAAUGGAGGUGGAGUUUGUAUGUUUGUACAUGAUGACCUGGCUUUCAAUAUAAGAACAGACUUAUCAUGGGAUGGCGAAGAAAUCUUAUUCCUGGAACUAAUCUUGCCAAGAAACAAGCCUAUCAUUGUUGGGAUUGUCUACAGACCUCAAAAACAUUCUAGUUUUUUAGAUAGUUUUGAAAACAUUUUCACUUAUUUAAAAUCAGAUUGUGAAACUAUUAUUUUAGGUGAUUUUAAUAUUUGUGUAUUACAUAAGUCUGGUUCUUUUUAUAAGUCUUAUUACAGUAUUUUACGGCUUUUUUAUUUAGAACAGAUACUUUCAGAACCUACUAGAAUUUGUAGUUCAUCUAUUAGUUUACUUGAUCAUAUUCUAUGUAAUAACAAAGAAAAAAUAUCUCAGUCAGAAGUGUUCCUAUUGGUCUGAGUGAUCAUAUGCUUACUUUGUGCACAGGAAAAAUUGCGAAAGUUCCAGCAAAAUAGCAUAAUUAUGUGAAAAUCAGGUCUCUAAAAUAUUAUGAUAAAAAAGAUUUUAUUUCCAGAUGAGCAAAUGCUAACUGGAGUACUUAUUUUUACUCUACUAAUGUUAAUACUGCAUGGAUUCUUUUAAAAAUGUUUUGCUAGUGUUUUAGACUCUGUGACCCAAGUAAAGGAAUUAAGACUUCGUGACUAGUCAGAGCCCUGGAUUAACUCUGAAAUACUAGAUAGCACUAGAUAGUAUCAAGCAAAGAGAUUCGUAUUUAUAUAGAUAUAAAAAGUAUGGUGAAAGAGAGGAUUAUAAGGCUUAA